AGCAGCAUGGCGCAGUUGGAAGCGCGCGGGGCCCAUAUUUAUAGGACACCCCGGGGUCACUCGAUCGAAACGAGUUGCUGCUA